rnacentral:lncRNA from 1 species
UGGGGAGGCAAAGAUUUAUUCAGCUUACACUUCCAUGUUGUUCAUCACUGAAAAAAAGUCAGGACAGGAACUCAAGCAGGGCAAGGACUCAAGCAGGGCAGGAUCCUGGAGGCAGGAGCUGAUGCAGAGGCCAUGGAGGGGUGCUGCUUACUGCCUUGCUCCCCAUCGCUUGCUCAGCCUGCCUUCUUAUAGAACCCAGGGCCACCAGCCUAGGAUGGCACCACCAGCCCAGGAUGGCACCACCAACUGUGGGCUGGACCCUCCCCCAUUAAUCACCAAGAUCUUAUGGAGGCAUAUCCUCUCUUUUUAAAUUUUUUUCAGUGUGUAUUUUAAUUUAUGUGCAUUGAUCUUCUGUCUGCAUAUAUGCCUGUGUGAGGGUGUCAGAUGCCCUAAAACCGGAGUUACAGGCAAAUGUGGAUGCUGGAAAUCGAACACCAGUCCUCAGAAAAGCAGCUGGUGCUCUUAACCACUGAGGUGUUUCCUCAAUCGAGGUUCCCUCUCUUAGAUGACACCAGCUCGUGUCAAGUUGACGUAGACCAGCCAGCGCGGUUUCUUUGCAUUUGGGGAUGGAAAUAGAGACAUGAAAGCAAAGUCUCCGCAUCACUAAUGACACUAAAAUGACACUAGUCAUUAGUUGCUAAUAUUAAUCUAUAACUGCCCACUAAUGACAGUCGCUUUCAUCCCCCUGAGACUCCCUACGCCCGUUGUACUGUGGUAUGGGGUGGUUUGACCCAGGAUCUCACACUAGCUAAAUCUGAUCUCAAAUUCCCUACAUGGCCCAGGCCGAUCUUGAGUCUAACUGCAGUUCUCUUGACUCUUGGCUCUGAAAUUACAGAUGUGAGCCUCGGCUCGACUGCCCUGAUGCUGGGACACUGGCACACCCUAUUAUGGGAUGUUGGGAAUGGAAGCCAGGCCCGGUUGCAUGCUAGUCAAGCUCUACCAACCGGGCAACAUCCUGAGGCCCUAGGGCAGUGCUUCUCAACCUCCCUAGUGCUGUGACCCUAAUACAGCUAGUUCCCGAUGUUGUGGGGACCCCCAGUCAUAAAAUUAUUUUCAUUGCUACUUCAUAACUGUCAUCUCGCUACUUUUAUGAAUCAUAAUAUAAACAUCUAUAGAAAUAAAUAUCUGUAUUUUCCAAUGGUCUUAGGCAACCUCUGGGAAAGUCUUUUGACACCCUCCCCAAAGGGGUCAUGGCCAACAGGUUGAGAAACACUUUCCUAGGGCGUUCCUAAGGCACUUGGCUUUCUGCAAACUUGGUUGAGACUACAGCAGCAGGUAAUCAGAUCUUUUUUGUCCCUGCAACCCCCACCCUAGCAGCGCUCACUGCCUCCUCUCAUGCUAGCAAUACCGGUGGAGAUUAACCCAGUCCUGUCCUUUGCUGUAGAGUCUCAGUCCAUUUCAAACCUUAAGGCAUGGGAGGAGUCUCUAACCUGAGGCUAUACACAAGUAUAUACAGAGAUAGGGAUAGGAGCCGUCUAGGGCCGCUGCUUCUCACACAGCGGACGUCAGCUUCCGUUUGGUGCUCUCUGUGCAGCGGUGCAGGAUGAGGUCCGAGCUGGGUCGCGGAGGCACCGCGGGCUGUGGUUUGACGCGCGGAGUCGAUGGAUUGUCUGCAAACCAAAGCCAGGACCAUCAGAAGCCCCAGCCUCCCAGUUGUAAGCCCAGGCCCCGGCCCGCCCUGGCGCUC